UUCCUGCGAUAUAUUAUAUAUAAAUACACACGCACAUAUAUACAAACACAAGCACAUAUGAGUAUAUAUAUGAAUUCUACGUAAUUCUAUCAAUCAAUCUACACCCUUAUGGUACAGAAUGUUUCACAGUUCCUGUGCUUUCUUCCUCAUAUGUUAAUCCUAGGAUAAACCAUAUCUAACUUAACUACUAUUGGUCCCCCUAAAAGGAAUUCUCCUUAUUUACUUAGGUGCUGUUAAAACCUCACCCCAGGCUGCUGGUCACCGGGCAGCUUGAGAUCUAAGAGAGGAGCAGAAGCUGGAGUUGGGGGCUGUCCCAGCACAGGGCGCUGAUGUCACAGGUUGGCAUCUCCUUUGUGACAGAUGCACCGGGGGCAGAAUGAUGAAGGAUGUCUGCACUUCUCUCUUUGGCUGGUUUUCUUAGCAAGUCCACAAAAGUAUAGCAAGCAUCUCUCCGUGUCAGGCACAGUUCUUGGUGCUGAGGAUGGGACAGUGAACAAGAGAAAGCCUUGGAUGUUAAGGAGCCUACGUUAUAGCGGGGGGUGAUGGCGCUGUGCUCUGAGCUCGGUGUGGGUGAUGAUGACCAGUCUUCCUCCUCAGGCUUCUAGAGUGUGGGUGCCAGUCCUGCCAUGGCCUGCUUCGCCUCCAGUUUGUGCACCUCCUGAUCGGGAGAAGUCAUGGUGUCUUCCUGGCUUCUGCUUUGCCUCUAGUCGCACUGCUCUUCCUCCCACAGAAGUGGGCUCUGGGCUGGCCUUGGCUUCCUUCAGGCCAGUCCUGCGUGCUCUCCACCCAGCCGUGGAUGAGGAUGGCAUCCUGCCCACGCCCAGGAAGCCGUUCGCCUGCUGUAAACAAGCACGGGAAGAAUCCACGCUCUUACCGUGAGUGAUAACACUGCGACAGAGAGACAGACCUCCUGCCUUCCAGGCCUGGGAUUUUUCCAGUGUGUGCCUCCCUCUCAAGAUUCCAGAGAACCCUGGAGACGAGGAGAUAACUGGAAAUUGCUGGCAAUUUUGAGGAAGAUGACGCGCUUGCUUUGGUUGCAGAGAGGCCAGAGGACUUCAGAUUCCGGGCCG
rnacentral:lncRNA from 1 species